AAAUCCAAUAAGAGACAGAAACUAGAUAAUGAGUAUAAGAU
rnacentral:guide_RNA from 1 species